CCGUCCCGCCCCCUCUGUAAGAUUAAGUGACCCUCAGGGCCACCUCCCACCCAGACACUCCAGGCCAUGACAUCCUGCGAGGUCUGCUGAAGCUCCUUAUCUAUUUGAACCGUCUCUCUUGCCUCUAGGCUCUGAGGUCCCGGCUGUGUUCCAGCAACUGGCAAAGAGCAGACCCUCCAUAAAUACUCCCUUGGCAAACGAGAGAAGGAUCCAGAGGUAAGCGGCGGAGGAUGGUAGUGUCCGUGUCAGUGCUGAGGAACUCCACCACUCAUACCGUGGCAGUACGGUGGCUGCUGUGACAGUGUGGCUCUUGCCACAUCACCAGAGGAGUGCAGGUGGGGGCCCGUCAGGCCACCGAAGAGGAGUCCUGUGCGGGACCAGCCAACCCGACACCUGCCCCGGCGUUUCAAUGGCUCAGAGAUUCUCGAAGCGUGCCAUUGCAAGCAGGUUGGCCACCCAGCCCAGCUGAUGUGGCCUCUGGCAAGAGGUUCCUUACGUCACUCUUCCUUCCUGCCUCUGGAUCACAGGCCCAGAAGCACCCACCUUGUUUGGUGACAUCUCCUGAGAAGCCCCCAAACACCAGAAGCAAGGACUUAACCUUAGGCCCAACACCCUGCCCUGCACACACUUACCCAGGAAGCCACAGGGACAUCAGGAUUCCCACUGCAGACCCGCCUCGGACUUCAGCAACUAGGGUCAUUUGCCAACAGCACGUGUCUUACAGUCGAUGCCACGUCGUGGUGUGAUUCGUGGCAUGACUUCCUUCCUAGUGGUACAUUAAACGGUGUGUAUGACCAUGGGGGGUGUCCUCUAUGAAUGAGAUACAGUAGACGUGUCUAGGGACC